rnacentral:rRNA from 1 species
CACGUAGGCACCAAGCGUUGUCCGGAAUUAUUGGGCGUAAAGAGCUCGUAGGCGGUCUGUCGCGUCUGCCGUGAAAACCCGAGGCUUAACCUCGGGCUGGCGGUGGAUACGGGCAGACUAGAGGUAGGUAGGGGAGAAUGGAAUUCCCGGUGUAGCGGUGAAAUGCGCAGAUAUCGGGAGGAACACCGGUGGCGAAGGCGGUUCUCUGGGCCUUACCUGACGCUGAGGAGCGAAAGCGUGGGGAGCGAACAGG